ensembl:misc_RNA RNaseP_nuc Nuclear RNase P
GCGGAGGGAAGCUCAUCAGUGGGGCUACGAGCUGAGUGCGCUUAGUCACUCUAUCCGAUGUCCCUUGGGAAGGUCUGAGACUAGGGCCACGGGCGGCCCUAACAGGGCCCUCCCUGAGAUUCGGGGAGGUGAGUUCCCAGAGAACGGGGCUCCGCGCGAGGGCAGACUGGGCAGGAGAUGCUAUGGACCCCGCCCUUGCGGAGGGGCCUGGCGGAUGCCUCCUUAGCCGGAGCUUGGAACAGACUCACGGCCAGCGAAGUGAGUUCAAUGGCUGAGGUGAGGUACCCCACCCCGCGUGGGGGUCUCAUAACCCAAUUCAGACUACUCUCCCGCCCGU